rnacentral:rRNA from 1 species
GGGAAACUGGGUCUAAUACCGGAUAGGAGCCAUUUUUAGUGUGAUGGUUGGAAAGUUUUUUCGGUGUAGGAUGAGCUCGCGGCCUAUCAGCUUGUUGGUGGGGUAAUGGCCUACCAAGGCGGCGACGGGUAGCCGGCCUGAGAGGGUGGACGGCCACAUUGGGACUGAGAUACGGCCCAG